rnacentral:rRNA from 1 species
UACAGAGGGGGCAAGCGUUGUUCGGAAUUACUGGGCGUAAAGGGCGCGUAGGCGGCCUUCUAAGUCGAACGUGAAAUCCCCGGGCUCAACCCGGGAACUGCGUCCGAUACUGGCGGGCUUGAAUUCGGGAGAGGGAUGUGGAAUUCCAGGUGUAGCGGUGAAAUGCGUAGAUAUCUGGAGGAACACCGGUGGCGAAGGCGGCAUCCUGGACCGAUAUCGACGCUGAUGCGCGAAAGCCAGGGGAGCAAACGGG